CGCUGGGCGCAAGCUGCUCAUGCCUCCAUAUUAGAGAAUACCCGACUUCAUCCACCACAUAAUUGCUCCACCUAAAUCUAUGAUGAUCCACCACCCCAUAAAAAUCAAGAUCAUGAUAUUAGGAACCCUAGCACGACAGCACUCAUUCUCUGAUAAGAGAUUUGCAGUUGAUCUUCCCUUUCAUAUCAAAGGCCGAUCGUAUACUCCAACACUGCGAAGCAGGGACGGUGAAGACUGAUAAAACCAAUGCCGCACAGUUCAAUAGCCAUCAGUUGUCGGUUCAAAGUAAAGCACACCAGUUGAUUUUGUUAUCCAAUAGUGCGUGUAUCAGAAGUGACCGAUAGUGUCGAGCGCGGUCUGACCGACAAUGCAGUCUAUAAUUACGAUGGUUCUUACGACAAGUGCGAUGGCUUACUGUGAGUGAGCAAAACAUUUCUUUUGAGAUCGGCCUUUUCUUGUUACCAACGAGUGUCGUGGUG